GCAUCUUCUCGAUAUAUGUUCAGCAGUAGUAUAGCUGGGUCCUCAGUAUCUGCCAGUUACCUGAGUUUUUGCCAGGAGUGCAUAGGCCACAGAAGCAGAAGAGCAGCUAGGACAAUGUGGCCUCCCUCCCUCCCUCUGCCUGAGCUCCACAACAGAGCUGACAACCUCCCUCUGCCUGAGCCCCAAGAGCUGACACCUGGGACUGAAGGUGGCACCUGUGGAGCUAAACAAUAGCCCACUACACGGGCAGCUCAUCUUUGAAGUUGAUGGACUGAGAGUUGCACCUAGAGGCUGACACACCUACUGCCGGAGGGCAUGCUGAAUGUAAACAAACUUGACUGCCUGAGAACUGAGCUUGAGAAGAUCUUGGCAUCUUCAUGGCUGGGACUGUAUUUACUCUUGCAUAUAUUUUAUUCCUGCAGUUUUCGGUUUCAUUUCGUACUUGCCUAUAUAAGCUCAAAAUACCCCCAAGUAAAUGGAUGCUUUGAUACA